rnacentral:lncRNA from 13 species
GCAAAACCUCAUUAGAUUAAUUGGCCUUGCCAGCUCCUGAACAAGCAAGGCCUUUAGUCAUGCUGGGGCACAGAGGGCAGGGGAAGGAGGGAGCUCUGGGGCUUCCACACUCCCUUGAGCUGCAUGUCCCAGCUCUUGGCUCCAGCUGGAGCCUGGGAGGAGCAACUGGAGCUCCUGGCUGCCUUUGGAUGGGUGCGGCCGUGGCCAGGUGGUCCCUCUGCUUUUUUGGGGUUCAGGACAACACGUAGCCUUGUCCUUUUGGAGUGACAGCCCUUGGAAGACAUCUUCAGAGUCUGGGAGAUGUUGGGAGCAGGCUGCUGUAUCUCCCCGCCUGGUGCCUCCUGCUCCAUCAUCCCCCAAAGGCCUGGAGCAGCCGGGAAUGUCUCUGGACUCGCUGGAGUGCUGGGAGAGCAACCAGCCCUGGCAGGAUCAGGGUCGUGGCUUCCUCCAGCCCAUAAGCUUCCCUCAUCCAUCCUGGCAGCAGGGAACUGGACGCAGGGGAAGUGACAGGGACCCCAGGGAGUGGGAGGAACUGGAGGGGCUUGCACACCGUGAAGCUCCCUCUGAAGACAUCAGCAGGGGAGGCACGAGGGAGAGAAAAGCUGUUUCAGCUGCCAUGUGAUGUUGACAUAAGAAUCACCAGGUAAAAACUGCCCCUGAAUACAGCAGAGCUGGGAAUUACGGGAUUUUUCACUGCUGGGGGACGUAGGCUCGGGAAUGAUCUCCUGGCUGAGGGUGCU